rnacentral:lncRNA from 1 species
GGACAAGGGUGCAGGAGCAAGCAGAGUAACCCUCUAGACCUUUUUUAAAGGAAAGACAAGCCAACUGCUGGUCUACAUUUACUUAAUGAAGAACAAAAACACCUCUGUCCAGGUUGGCAACAGUGGCAGAUGUCUUUUCCACUAACGUACCCCGUGGACGAUAUGAUACAUGGCUGGCAUCGACUCCCCCAACCUGGGACGGUUGACCUUCGGGCCUUCCUGGACUCUGAGCAGCGGAGGAGAGAUCUGGAUGUCAGUCUGGCUCAGGUCCAAAAUGCCCUGCAGGAACAGAGGGUCAGAAUGCUCCAGAGAAUGGGCCCAGGGAGCCGACAUAAACUACCCCAGAUACUUGUUUUGAAUCUUGGGCAGAUCAAUCGACCAGUAAACCUCCAUCCUAGUCUGUUAUCAGAGAACAUCUACAUCCCACCAUAUGGUGACCUUUACACAAGAGUGGGCAGGCUAGAGAUUGACUCAGAGAUCAUUAGCGCCCAACUGGACCAGGUUCUCUGUUCUAGGGGAAGGUGUCUCUACAGGAAUGGACCCUCACCCCAACAGGACAGCUUGACUCCUUGUCAGAGGGAGGACCAUAGUAUGACCUCUCAGCUUAUUGCUCAAGCAGUGGACAAAGGACAACUUCUGAAAGAGCGAGACAACCUUGAGCGUCUGCUGGAGGAAUCCAGGGCCCAGCAGCAGCUGAUGGAGCAGAAGAGGGAGGCCCAGAUAGCAGCCCUUCACUCCCAGCUGUACCAGGCACGCUCCAGCCUCCAGGAGACCCACAGAGAGACACUGGCCACACAGGCAGAGCUACAUGGCAGCAAGCAGAUAAAUGAGUCCCUGCUACAGGAGGUGGCGUCUCUCAGACGGAGGCCCGGGGCUGCGGAGGAGCGGGCCUCCCUGAUGGAGAGUGACGGACGCCUGCUCAGGGCUCGCAUAGCAGCACUGGAGACUGAGCGGGAGGAGCUGCUUCAACAAGGAGACCUCGCCACAGGGAGACGACGCUCCUCAGCCUUUGGGAGCGCUUGGGAAACGGAUGUGGAAGAUUCCGAAAAGUCGGAGGGGUUGAGGGAGGAGAGUACCGCAUAUGAGAUGGGGGAAGUGGAGGAGGAGGAGAGGGUACAAGGGAAGGAUUUGUCUGUGGACUUAAGACUUAAGAUCCAUGAGGUGCCGCUCUCUAAGCCUGGCCUACAGAUAAAGGAAGAGAACCAGGACGGAGAGAAGGGGCUGGGAUUGGUCGAUCGCUGGAAUCCAUGGCAGCACGAGCCAAUAGAAGCCAAUCAAAUGACGGCGCUGGUCAUAGAGCUGCAGCAGCUGAGAACGGCCUGUGAAGAGACAUCAUCAACACUACCGGUCUCCCCCAAGGACCAGAGGGCCAGAGAGUGGAUGUGAAAGAGCUGCUCUGCUCGAGGACUGUGUGGGGGAGAUGGAUUGGGAGGGGCUGGCUUUCCUGGAGAGAGACUGUGGAGUUCUUCGGGUGGUACCUCCAGGAUCAUUGGCAAGAAGUAACCCACCACAUUCACACUGAUCCUUGACUAUGGAAUUUGGUCAGUACGUCACAACCCCCAGACCACGUAUAACCACACCAGCCAGGCCCUCCACAUCCGCCUUCUUCACCUGCAGGAUUGUCUGAGACCAGCCACUUGAACAGCUGAUGAAACUCAG